rnacentral:rRNA from 1 species
AGCUCAAAUUUGAAAGCUGGCUCCUUCGGGGUCCGCAUUGUAAUUUGCAGAGGAUGCUUCGGGAGCGGUCCCCAUCUAAGUGCCCUGGAACGGGCCGUCAUAGAGGGUGAGAAUCCCGUAUGGGAUGGGGUGUCCGCGCCCGUGUGAAGCUCCUUCGACGAGUCGAGUUGUUUGGGAAUGCAGCUCUAAUUGGGUGGUAAAUUUCAUCUAAAGCUAAAUAUUGGCCGGAGACCGAUAGCGCACAAGUAGAGUGAUCGAAAGAUGAAAAGCACUUUGAAAAGAGAGUUAAAAAGCACGUGAAAUUGUUGAAAGGGAAGCGCUUGCGAUCAGACUCGCUCGCGGGGUUCAGCCGGCCUUCGGGCCGGUGUACUUCCCCGCGGGCGGGCCAGCGUCGGUUUGGGCGGCCGGUCAAAGGCCCCUGGAAUGUAACGCCUCUCGGGGCGUCUUAUAGCCAGGGGUGCCAUGCGGCCUGCCCGGACCGAGGAACGCGCUUCGGCUCGGACGCUGGCAUAAUGGUCGUAAGCGACCCGUCUUGAAACACGGACCAAGGAGUCUAACAUCUACGCGAGUGUUCGGGUGUCAAACCCGUGCGCGCAGUGAAAGCGAACGGAGGUGGGAACCCCUCGGGGUGCACCAUCGACCGAUCCUGAUGUCUUCGGAUGGAUUUGAGUAAGAGCGUAGCUGUUGGGACCCGAAAGAUGGUGAACUAUGCCUGAAUAGGGCGAAG